rnacentral:rRNA from 1 species
GAUGAACGCUGGCGGCGUGCUUAACACAUGCAAGUCGAACGAUGAAGCUCAGCUUGCUGGGUGGAUUAGUGGCGAACGGGUGAGUAACACGUGAGUAACCUGCCCUUAACUCUGGGAUAAGCCUGGGAAACUGGGUCUAAUACCGGAUAGGAGCGUCCACCGCAUGGUGGGUGUUGGAAAGAUUUAUCGGUUUUGGAUGGACUCGCGGCCUAUCAGCUUGUUGGUGAGGUAAUGGCUCACCAAGGCGACGACGGGUAGCCGGCCUGAGAGGGUGACCGGCCACACUGGGACUGAGACACGGCCCAGACUCCUACGGGAGGCAGCAGUGGGGAAUAUUGCACAAUGGGCGCAAGCCUGAUGCAGCGACGCCGCGUUAGGGAUGACGGCCUUCGGGUUGUAAACCUCUUUCAGUAGGGAAGAAGCGAAAGUGACGGUACCUGCAGAAGAAGCACCGGCUAACUACGUG